CUGCAGGAGAGACGCUGCGCUCCUCAUCUUUGAGUUUUCUAUCUGGCCGCUCCACGGCUUGCGUGAUUGUCGCCGAAGUAUGCCAGGCCAUUUGGGACAUCCUCGGGCCGAUUUACGUCGCACGACCGUCAACUCCAGGCGAAUGGCUAAAGGUUGCGAGAGAGUUUGAGGAGAAGUGGGACAUGCCACAUUGCCUCGGUGCGAUAGAUGGAAAACACGUGAAUGUCGAGUGUCCGGCAAACUCUGGAAGCAGAGACCGCAACUACAAAAAUGCGUUCAGCAAGUCACUGCUCGCAUUGAGCGACGCCAACUACAGCUUCCUGUAUGUUGAAAUCGGCCACCAUGGAAGCGAAUCAGAUGGUGGAAUCUUCAGUAGGAGCAAUCUACAAAUGAAAAUUCUUGACAGCACUCUUGGCCUUCCUGCGUGUGCAAACCU